UACGUAGGCAGCAAGCGUUGUUCGGAGUUACUGGGCGUAAAGGGUGCGUAGGCGGUCCUAUAAGUAUGGUGUGAAAUCUCCCGGCUUAACUGGGAGGGUGCGCUAUAGACUGUGGGACUAGAGUGUGGGAGAGGAAAGUGGAAUUCCUGGUGUAGCGGUGAAAUGCGUAGAUAUCAGGAGGAACACCGGUGGUGUAAACGGCUUUCUGGACCAUAACUGACGCUGGAGGCACGAAAGCGUGGGGAGCAAACAGG
rnacentral:rRNA from 1 species